GCGCCUGUAGCUCAGCUGGAUAGAGUACCUGGCUACGAACCAGGCGGUCGCACGUUCGAAUCGUGCCAGGCGCGCCA
rnacentral:tRNA from 25 species